rnacentral:lncRNA from 1 species
CCGGAGCAGCCCGGGAGUUGAGGCCGGCGCUGCAGGCAGCGGCGGCUGCGCGGUGAACGAGGCGGCCUGCGCGGCGGAGUGCUGAGUCCCGAUCCCCGGCUCUGUCCGGCCCACGGAUCCUCAAGCCCGGGCCCCGGGCCCGGCCCCAGCCUCAGCCCUGAGCGUCUCGGGGCGGAUGGCGCGGGGCGGCGGGGGCGGGCGGUGCUGAGCCCUGCGCGGGCCAUGGCCUCGGCCUGCGGGGCGCCGGGCCCGGGGGGCGCCCUGGGCAGCCAGGC